CAACAAUAGACAAUCACAGUCUGCUUAAACUAAUAACACACAAAGAAUGAAAUGUUGCCAUGUUUUUAUUGAACACACCAUGUAAACAUUCACAGUGCAGGUGGAAAAAGUAUGUGAACCCCUAGACUAAUGACAUCUCCAAGAGCUAAUUUGAGUGAGAUGUCAGCCAACUGGAGUCCAAUCAAUGAGAUGAGAUUGGAGGUGUUGGUUACAGCUGCCCUGCCC